rnacentral:rRNA from 1 species
UACGGAGGGUGCAAGCGUUGUUCGGAAUCACUGGGCGUAAAGGGCGCGCAGGCGGCCUGAUCAGUCAGAUGUGAAAGCCCACGGCUUAACUGUGGAAGUGCAUUUGAAACUGUCAGGCUUGAGUACCAGAGGGGAAAGUGGAAUUCCCGGUGUAGAGGUGAAAUUCGUAGAUAUCGGGAGGAAUACCGGUGGCGAAGGCGACUUUCUGGCUGGAUACUGACGCUGAGGCGCGAAAGCGUGGGGAGCAAACAGGAUUAGAAACCCUCGUAGUCC